GCCGAGCGUUAGGCCGUAAAUUUUUAAUUUACUCACAGGAGAACCCUUCUU
rnacentral:tRNA from 1 species